GGGUGGUAAAUUUCAUCUAAAGCUAAAUAUGGGCCGGAGACCGAUAGCGCCAAGUAGAGUGAUCGAAAGAUGAAAAGCACUUUGGAAAGAGAGUUAAACAGCACGUGAAAUUGUUGAAAGGGAAGCGCUUGCGACCAGACUCGCCCGGGGGGGCUCAGCCGGCUCUCGUGCCGGUGCACUCCCCCCCGGGCGGGCCAGCGUCGGUUUGGGCGGCCGGUCAAAGGCCCCCGGAAUGUGUCGCCCUCCGGGGCGUCUUAUAGCCGGGGGUGCAAUGCGGCCAGCCCAGACCGAGGAACGCGCUUCGGCUCGGACGCUGGCGUAAUGGUCGUAAGCGGCCCGUCUUGAAACACGGAC
rnacentral:rRNA from 1 species